AAAACACCAAUACUUUCAUCCUUCCCUUCCAUAUACAAAGCCAAUCCUAGGAAUCUGCGGUUUUGAUGGUAGGUCGUGGUACGUCGUCAUUCGCUUCCAUCGUUUCGCUUCGAUCGUAAUUCAAGUCUUUUCCGAUCGACGGAAUAAUCGUGUUGUAAUCCCCAGUUUCCAGGUAAGGCAAUUCUCUUCUGGAAAUAAUCCACGAUCAAAUCCUAACUUCCCGGUCCAAUCCCACCUACCACUUCAGUUUUUUUAGCAUACCAAAAUUUUCUAGCCUAACAAUUCCACCGGUUCUCUCCACAUCCCUCCUCACCUCAUGUAUCCCACGACCAUGUGAUGACCGAGGAACAACGCAGAUCUCAGGCCAUCACCUGCCGACCUCUCAUGUGCGGCCCGGAGGUCGACCCGUCCUGCUCCUCUUGUCCGCAGGUGCGCGUCGCCGCACGAUCUGCUCCUCCAGCCUACCUCCCGCACCGAGCCAACUCUCAUGCAUCUCAUACAGCGCGAGCUGCUCGUGGAGGCUCAGCUGUUCCUCCAUGAUGGCGACGUUGAGGGCUGGUGGAGGCCAAUCAUCAUGGACGUGUCUCGCUUUGUGCAAGUCGAGGUGGUCGCCGAGGGCGCCGCGGCACUUCCAGGAUCGUGAUCUACCACUACGACGAAGCCAUGAAGCUUCACCUCCGAGCAAAGGCCAGAUGUAAUACUUGCCUGUUCCCACGCACUGCUUGUUGGAUUUUUUUGGCUACCUUUUGUUGCUAAGACUAGACCUAAGCAUAUGAGUUAUGUCAAAUUCAGCGCCGAUCAGCAAUAUAUGUGGACGAUAUGAUGAAGGUCGUUGCAUGCUGCAGCUAACUCUGACCUAGCAGGACACGUUAGUAAUUUAGUAUGCAUAUGUUGUCUUCCUAAUGUACAAGCUGACAAGUAGUUGAAUGCCAUGACAUGAUGUUUCCUUCGUAGUCAUGCAGAUUUUGUAGCUUGCAAGAUCCUUAUCUCUAUAAUGUUCAAGUGAAUGGAUGAGAGAUCAGUUUCCUACUCAAUCGGUGUUCUCUCAACAAUCUGAACUAAUUUGGUGAUUGGUUUAUUACCUUCUAGGCGAAAUCACCUCACGAUAUUAUAGAGCCAGUAAAUCUGGAGCCUACAAGUUUGUUUCCUUCUUUUGCAAUGCAAAGUAAAAAAACUCAUUGUGUGAGGGUGAAGCUAUUUUUUAGGAAAAACUAAAUCUUAUGAACUCUGGAAGUUAGAGCUUUAUGAUUUACCAAGUAUGGUUAUAAAUAGUUCUGGAGUUGCAACAACAUCCCAACUUUAACAGUACAUACACUAUAAGCCCUCUUAUGCAUGAUAUAUUGUUAUACUGAUAAAAUUACUAUUAGAGACAAAUUUCAGCUCUCAUAGGAUGCUGAUAUAUUGUAACCUUUUUGGAUAUUUUUGGUACUUUGUUUGAUGAUAAAAAAUGGAUCGUUGUCAUCUUUCGGAUGAAUAUUUUGAAGCUGGAUAAACUGGUUUUGUAGCAUGCCACUAACUGCUUCUGCGCAUAUACAUGCAAUUCUAUAUCUAUUUAUUGGAAGUCACAAAUAGAAUAUGAAGAAAAGCAUGUAAAAAGGCAGUAUGUUUUUAACAGGUUCUCUUCUACGCCAUACUUGCUUUGGAAUGUUCAGGAUGAGCUUCUUUAGGUACUUUGUGGAUGAUGAAGCAAAAUCAACGCUCUUCAGUUUUGUCGUUGUUUGAUUCGGCUUGCAGUUUCUACAAAUGUUGUGCCACUUAGGCUUUGGAUUGCGCCUUCUUAUAUGUUGACCAUCUCAUCUUUGCGGCAAAUACGCAGAUAUAUGUUAACCAUCUCAUAUACUCAUCUGUGCAUGUUUACGUAUUUCUUGUCUAACGGGUUCUUUUGGUGUGUCCUUGUAGAGACAAAAAAAAAUAGUAGGAGGCUUUAUAAACCAAAGGGGAAAAAACAAAUUUAUUAGCAAACUAAUCAAAUUCGGGCUCACAUCAAGGUAUUUUUUAGGGGUAUUAAUCCCAUGUGCUAAAUUCUGUGUUAGUAUAGUUGAAGCCCAGGUCACAUAUUGAUGAUUCAUAGUUCUCUGAUUGGUCUUCUCAUAUUAUUUGUCGUCUCCAAGCAAAUUCUGAGAAACCAUCGGAGUUCUUGAUGCUUCUAUUAAUUCAGAAAAAGCAAGUUAUUGUUUCCCUGGAGUUACUGUAUAUCUGCUAUGGGAUCGUUAGUUCAUGAGUGUUUCGACAUGGCACUCUGGAACAGGAGUUCAGAAUUUGCCACUGACCACACUCCGGCGUGAUCCCACCCAUGAUGCUACAUUAUGGGCUUUACAGGCAAGUGCCUGCUCUGUGACACCGUGCCUGCUAAGCUGAUGGCCUCCUCGCAAAUGUGUGCCAUGUGGGUGGCAGCGACAGGAACGAGACGAGCAGGAGGGUGCCCUUCUACCCGGAGUUGCAGCUGCUCUGAGGAUUCUUUAGAAGGACAUGGCAGUGUUCCUGAUGUUUGAUAUGAUAGAGAACAGGUGCAUGAAGGAAUGCCUCCAUGAUCUUCUCAGGGCGCCAUUCAUUGGAACUUGAUAAUAGGUACAAAUUUUGUCAUUGGUACGUUGCUGAUAAUGCAAUGUGUCCCCGGCACACUCAAAAAAAAAAUCCAUCGAGCAGCUGAAAUUGUACUACUUUUCAGAGAAGUUAGUGUUGUCGGCCACUCACUCUUUGCAAAAACUUCGCCGAAGGUUUUCUUCACCAUUUUGUGUCUGAUAG